rnacentral:rRNA from 1 species
UACGUAGGGGGCAAGCGUUGUCCGGAAUUACUGGGCGUAAAGCGCACGUAGGCGGCUUUCUAAGUCGGGGGUGAAAUCCUGGAGCUCAACUCCAGAACUGCCUUCGAUACUGGAAAGCUCGAGUCCGGGAGAGGUGAGUGGAACUGCGAGUGUAGAGGUGAAAUUCGUAGAUAUUCGCAAGAACACCAGUGGCGAAGGCGGCUCACUGGCCCGGUACUGACGCUGAGGUGCGAAAGCGUGGGGAGCAAACAGG